rnacentral:tRNA from 1 species
GGGUGAGAUGGCUCAGUGGGUAAGAGCACCCGACUGCUCUUCUGAAGGUCCAGAGUUCAAAUCCCAGCAACCA